GCUGGGCAUGGUGGCAUAUGCCUAUAAUCCCAGUGGCUUGGGAGGCUGAGGCAGGAGCCUGGUUGCGAGUUCAAAGCCAGCCUCAGCAACGGUGAGGUGCUAAGCAACUCAGUGAGACCUGUCUCUA
rnacentral:sRNA from 1 species